rnacentral:rRNA from 1 species
UACAGAGGGUGCGAGCGUUGUCCGGAAUCACUGGGCGUAAAGGGCGCGUAGGUGGCGUCGCAAGUCGAUGGUGAAAGCUCGGCGCUCAACGCCGAGUCGGCCCUUGACACUGCGAGGCUGGAGCACUGUAGAGGCUAAUGGAAUUCCGGGUGUAGCGGUGGAAUGCGUAGAGAUCCGGAAGAACACCGGUGGCGAAGGCGGUUAGCUGGGCAGUUGCUGACACUGAGGCGCGACAGCGUGGGGAGCAAACAGG